rnacentral:tRNA from 1 species
GGGGAUAUGGCUCAGUUGGUAGAGUGCUUGCCUUGCAUGCACAAGGUCCUAGGUUCAAUACCUAGCACCACCA